UUGAGAACGGACCCGCAUCAAAACAAAGUUCAGCGUUCGUUCUUAAUUUUGGGCUACUAUCAACACCCCAAAAUAAAAGUUCGCUGCUUGAACUGACUGCCCCAAAAAUUUUUGUUUUGUUUCCAGCUAGGUCAUGCUUAGCAAUAAACACAUUUUAAUAUGCUGAUUUUCUGGACUUCUGAACGACCGGAUUUCCCCUCGUCGAAGGACAUGCUGCCUCAAUUUCCCGGAUAUGGGACGACAUCCGGAUCUGCCUCCAGUAUAGAUUUGAAACAAUACGCAACCAUAAUAAUUAAAGAAAGGCUUGCCAAGUACUUUUACAGCUGGAUUAGAAAGCAUGUCUGGACCGAGAGCGAAACCCGAUUUCGAAUAUCCUCGAAGACGUCGGACUCGAUCCGGGAGUUGUCCUUUUAAGUGAAACAAAUUGUUCCAGCAUGACGAGCCAGAUGUAUAGACAAGCUGGAAGAAGGUCAUCAUAUAAGCCAACAAACGGUAGUUUUCUUUCGUCAAUUCCGUUCCGUAGCAUUCCGGAUUCCAAUAUAUCGCGCGAAAUCACCAACUAAAUUUCUAAAUAGUUGUAAUCUGGUCGCAUCCCAGUGAUAAAGCCUCCGAAUCAAAAUUGUUAACACUGUUUUAAGGAUUGUAUUUGUGUAGGAAAAAGAUUUUUUUAAAUAAAUAACAAAAAUAGCCCA